GCUGCCAAUUUAUAGCAAGGUUGUGAAGAAUACAAUUGGGUCUGGCUGGGGACGGCACUGCCAAAGGCAUAAAAAGACUACAAAGUAAGAAGUACAACAUAAAUUUACUAAAACAAAAAAUGACUUGUUAAUAUUAGAAGAUUAAUUUUUUUUAAUUCUUGUUGGAGCUAUGUUCCAAACUGUAUCUUUCGGGUGGCCUGCUUCUGCCUUAUGAAUUUUGAUUCUUUAAUUACUGCAUUAACAAAUUCUUUGACACGUCAAAUUACACAGGGUAUAAUAUAUUUUAAUAUGUUAUAAAUAGACAAAAGUGAGAGAGAGAACUUUUAUAGAGAUUGAAGUGAAACGGGUGCAAUGUAUCACACUAUUUAUUUUCAUAACUGUAUCACACAAAGAAUACAGAUAAAGAGAGGGAAGUGAAAUUCAUAUUCACUUUUUGCGUUUUUAUCUUGUGUGUAGUUUGAUCAUACAUUGCAUACGCUUUAUAUAGAGCUAUUUACGUGCAAAAGUCUACAUGAGAAGUUAAUGCAUGUUGAAAAUCAUAUGUCAUACAACGGCAACAAAAUCUAAAAAUACAUCUACACUACUAUUUUUAAUCUUUUUACAUUACACAUUUAGUCAAGCUAUGUGGACAUUCAAUUCACACGGCUUUUACAAUAUUAUAUGUAAUACAACUUGUAGACAUAGAAAUUUCGGUGAAAUAAUUGUUCACCAACACAUUAAAGUUUAGACAUGCCAUACGUGGCAUGCGCCAUGUGUCUCACAAAUCGUACACAUGGAUGUGAUUUAUCAAAAUCAAACGAGUCAUCAAGAAUGACAUGUGUCAACACUUGGCAUAAAUGAAUUAAUUGAUUUAUUUGAUUUUAAUUUAAUUAAAUCAAAUAUUAAUUGAUGGAGUCAAAUCACGAAUCAGCCCACAAGUUGAGCCCUAGUUCUUUCACCAAUUAAUCAAGCCCACAAUAGAGGCCAAAUUCAUCCGUAGGCAAAGCCUGGAGAGUAUAAAUAAGAGGCUCUAAGACAAAGAAAAAAGGGCCAGAAAUCAUUUUCACGCCUAGACGCUAAAGCUUUGAAACUUUAAAGCUCUCAAGCAUCAAAAUUUCCCCAACUCUACACACUCAAGAAGACAUAGAAAGCCCUCUACGUUCUUCGCCGAAACCUUUGAAGAAUCAU
rnacentral:lncRNA from 1 species